AGGCUGAGGGACUGAAAGCCUGCAGUUGAUUCCUGACUGAAGACUGAAUUCCAUUACUGCUUCAGAGGAGUUGGAUAAGGAAACAAAGUCACUGGAGAUCAAAUGUGGAAGUGAGGCUGGUCACCAGGCUGAAGGGUUGAAAACCUGAAGAUGAUUCCCAACUGUCAGGCCACAGGUGGUUCAGCUGGAGGAUGCGAGAGUUCGAGGUCAAACGGGAUGUGUGAACCAUUGUGAACAUGAUGGCCGACCUGCAGCCUGCCAGCAGAAGUUGUUUGGUGUGUGCAAGACCUGAGGAUACACAGCCUGGAUCGAACCAGAACCCUGGAGGGACUCCGCUCCGCCUGACGCUGCCAGUCAUUUCAUCCACAGAAUAUAGAGGGAAAACAAAUCCCUCCUCCUUUCUUGACCUGGCAGAUGGACGAGCUGUUGACCUGGACGAUUAGAUCAGAGGUGAUGAAGACGAUCGGGAGGAACUCUGGAAGUUCAGGAUUCUUCACAUUUUGACUUUCAUCCCUCACAUAAACUGAAAAGGGAAUAUGCACAGUGUGUUUUAGUGGUUGUCACAGCAUGCGACUUUUGAGUAAUCGCUGUGAGUCAGAGCAGCGAGCUGCAUCACACUAAUGGCUUUUACUGGGGCUGCUUUGCAGAGGCGACCGCGGCUGCAGUUUCCUCUGAAAGGAUUACAAUUUUCCCCGAUUGUCUUGCAUCAUCAGAGGCUGCAGCUCACCCUAAAUAUCCCGAUCCUCUCCGUGGGUUUGGCAGUGAGCAGGUGCUCAAGGUUGUGAGUUUGUGUUGUCUGGACAGAAUGACAUAAAAUCCAUACUCUGUUGUUUUAAGUCGGGAUGAGAGAAGCCAGGCGCUCAGACGUCUGUCCGCACGCUUCUCUGCCAGGUCAUCAAAACGUGCGGAAAGCUUCACACUAAUCAUUGUUAUGGACCCUGAGGAGACGCCACUGCCCCCCACAGACACAAGAGGACGAGCAGCAAAAAUAAUCUCAAUGUCUUGGAAAUGUUGUUUGGUAGGUUUGUGUGAGAUUUUUGAGCUGUAUCGUUUGAAUUCAGAAGUUAAAUGAACUACAGAAUUUCUGGAACAUGUUGAUUGACACUCUUUCACAAGUCGUUUCAUUGUAAAUUUUUUGUUUUUGUUUAAUCACACUUGAUUGAAAUCUGAGAUCACUGUUAUUUCACUGAUAUGCUCACCUGUGCUUGAUGGAAGUUUUUUCAUCUAAAUUGUUUCCCACAUGCUCACCCAAAAUGGAUUUCCGUUGCCACUGUGUCCCCUCUGAUCCAUUGUGUGGUUUAUUAACUCAGUUGGUAGUUUUCUCUGCUUUGUUGUUCCUUAAUGGGUUUUUUUUUUUUUUUUUUUGUAUUUUCAUUACAGUAAUGUUUGACUUUAUAUUAGCCACUUGGGCUUCUUUUUAU